UUUAUUUCCGCCCUGCUUGUAAUAACCGCUGCCCUACCUUAAAUUCAAGUCUAGUUACGGCCCUGCUACAUAUCCGUUAUGAUUCAGGUCGCUUCCUUAUUACCGUAUGGAUGGUAAAAAAUAAACAUAGGUUAACUACCAACGUACCUACCAUGGAAGCGCAGUAAUGACUAUUGAAUUAGAUACGGGAAAGCACUGGCUGGGACGCAGGUUUCAAUAAUUGUGGUUUGAUGGUGGACGUCGACGGCGAGGUUUAGCAGCGAUGCUGUCGCGAGGUUCUUCAACCCGCUUCUGUUUCACUACAAUCGCACAUUGGUCGCAUUUACAACGCGCAUUGAAGAGAAAUUAGUAAUAUUACUAUGUUGCACAUACUACAGCAUCGCGUCGCAUCACUCGCACACAAUACCAAUAGAGGGCUACGAAACAGAACUACAGGUUCUUGGCCAACAUGUAGAUAUUCCUGAAACACCCGUGAAAGUAGUUAAAAUCACCAAAACCAUUGCAGUUAAAAUACCCGUACCAUAUCCAGUGAAAGUAAGAGAGAAAGUGCCAUACCCUGUUC
rnacentral:misc_RNA from 1 species